rnacentral:rRNA from 2 species
AGGUGUGAUCAUACCAGCACUAAUGCACCGGAUCCCAUCAGAACUCCGCAAAUAAGCGUGCUUGGGCAAGAGUAGUAUUAGUAUGGGUGACCUCUUGGGAAGUCCUAAUUUUGCACUUC